rnacentral:rRNA from 1 species
AUGAACGCUAGCUACAGGCUUAACACAUGCAAGUCGAGGGGCAGCAUUUUAGUUUGCUUGCAAACUAAAGAUGGCGACCGGCGCACGGGUGAGUAACACGUAUCCAACCUGCCGAUAACUCGGGGAUAGCCUUUCGAAAGAAAGAUUAAUAUCCGAUGGUAUAUUAAAACCGCAUGGUUUUACUAUUAAAGAAUUUCGGUUAUCGAUGGGGAUGCGUUCCAUUAGUUUGUUGGCGGGGUAACGGCCCACCAAGACUACGAUGGAUAGGGGUUCUGAGAGGAAGGUCCCCCACAUUGGAACUGAGACACGGUCCAAACUCCUACGGGAGGCAGCAGUGAGGAAUAUUGGUCAAUGGACGAGAGUCUGAACCAGCCAAGUAGCGUGAAGGAUGACUGCCCUAUGGGUUGUAAACUUCUUUUAUAUGGGAAUAAAGUAUUCCACGUGUGGGAUUUUGUAUGUACCAUAUGAAUAAGGAUCGGCUAACUCCGUGCCAGCAGCCGCGGUAAUACGGAGGAUCCGAGCGUUAUCCGGAUUUAUUGGGUUUAAAGGGAGCGUAGGUGGAUUGUUAAGUCAGUUGUGAAAGUUUGCGGCUCAACCGUAAAAUUGCAGUUGAAACUGGCAGUCUUGAGUACAGUAGAGGUGGGCGGAAUUCGUGGUGUAGCGGUGAAAUGCUUAGAUAUCACGAAGAACUCCGAUUGCGAAGGCAGCUCACUAGACUGCAACUGACACUGAUGCUCGAAAGUGUGGGUAUCAAACAGGAUUAGAUACCCUGGUAGUCCACACAGUAAACGAUGAAUACUCGCUGUUUGCGAUAUACAGUAAGCGGCCAAGCGAAAGCAUUAAGUAUUCCACCUGGGGAGUACGCCGGCAACGGUGAAACUCAAAGGAAUUGACGGGGACCCGCACAAGCGGUGGAGCAUGUGGUUUAAUUCGAAGCAACGCGAAGAACCUUACCAGGUCUUGACAUUGAUCGCGAUCUGCAGAAAUGCGGAGUUCUUCUUCGGAAGACGAGAAAACAGGUGGUGCACGGCUGUCGUCAGCUCGUGUCGUGAGAUGUUGGGUUAAGUCCCGCAACGAGCGCAACCCUUAUCUUUAGUUACUAACAGGUCAUGCUGAGGACUCUAGAGAGACUGCCGUCGUAAGAUGUGAGGAAGGUGGGGAUGACGUCAAAUCAGCACGGCCCUUACGUCCGGGGCUACACACGUGUUACAAUGGGGGGUACAGAAGGCAGCUACCUGGUGACAGGAUGCUAAUCCCAAAAACCUCUCUCAGUUCGGAUCGAAGUCUGCAACCCGACUUCGUGAAGCUGGAUUCGCUAGUAAUCGCGCAUCAGCCAUGGCGCGGUGAAUACGUUCCCGGGCCUUGUACACACCGCCCGUCAAGCCAUGAAAGCCGGGGGUACCUGAAGUACGUAACCGCAAGGAGCGUCCUAGGGUAAAACUGGUAAUUGGGGCU